rnacentral:rRNA from 1 species
GAUGAACGCUGGCGGUAUGCUUAACACAUGCAAGUCGAACGGACUCUUCGGAGUUAGUGGCGGACGGGGGAGGAACGCGUGAGAAUAUGGCUUUGGGUUCGGGACAACCACUGGAAACGGUGGAUAAUACCGGAUGUGCGGAGAGGUAAAAGAAAACUUGCAUGAAGAUGAGCUCGCGUAUGAUGAGCUAGUUGGUGAGGUAAAGGCACACCACGGCAGCGCUCAGUAGCUUGUCUGAGAUGAUGACCAGCCACACUUGGACUGGGAGACGGCCCAGACAACUACGGCAGGCAGCAGUGGAGAAUUUUCCAGAAUGGCCGAAAGCCUGACGGAGCAAUACCGCGUGAGGGAAGAAGGCUUUUGGGUUGAAAAACUCUUUUAUUAGGGAAGAACAAAAUGACGGUACCUAAGGAAUCAGCCACGGCUAACUACGUG